rnacentral:rRNA from 1 species
UACGUAGGGUGCAAGCGUUAAUCGGAAUUACUGGGCGUAAAGCGUACGCAGGCGGCUUUGCAAGACAGGUGUGAAAUCCCCGGGCCUAACCUGGGAACUGCAUUUGUGACUGCAUAGCUAGAGUUUGUCAGAGGGGGGUGGAAUUCCACGUGUAGCAGUGAAAUGCGUAGAGAUGCGGAGGAACACCGAUGGCGAAGGCAGCCCCCUGGGCCAACACUGACGCUCAGGCACGAAAGCGUGGGGAGCAAACAGG